UGUGUAUGUGUGUGUGUGUGUGUGUGUGUGUAUGUGAUGUGUGUGUGUGUGUAUGUGAUGUGUGUGUGUAUGUGAUGUGUGUGUGUGUGUAUAUGUGUAUGUGUGUGUGUGUGUGUGUGUGUGUGUGUGUGUGUGUGUGUAUGUGUGUGUGUGUGUGUGCGUGAGAGAGAGAGAGAUCAUGCAUGUGUUUAUGUAGCUUCUUGAUUUUUGAUUUUCUGUAGCUUCUUGUUAGACAUGAAGGCAUGUGGAAAAGCAUGAACAGAGCUUCACUGCCUCGGAUCGUGUCUCGUCCUUUCCACCGUCUCCUGACUCGAUGCUGUUAGAGACACAGAGCUAACCGGCUUACACCAUAACCCAUGAACCUCAGAUCUAAAUGCACGACUCAGUGAAAGAACCUCAAACCUUUCCCCAUCAUCGUCAGUUUAAUGUUUAAUGAAUUGUAGGUGUUUUUGUGUUUGCUUUUGUUUCUCAGAUGUUGUAAUAUUUUCAGGUAAAUGUGUGAUUUUUUAAUUUGAAUAUGCAGAAAUACUUUGACUAUCCAUACAAUCAUGCAGGACAUAAGUCGGCUUUAAGCUUUACGUCAGACGCUAAUCCAGAGCAAAUCCACUCGUGCCACAUGUGAAAGGAAAAAAAAUCUGAAUGCUUUUUAAUGGGAUUUAGAGACGUGUUUGUCUCAUGAAGAGGGAACCAAAUCAUUGUUUUAAUUUAACUUUUAAACGUAAUUAUUGUUUUUGCAGAUGUAGUCCGAGUGCAUCUAAACCUUUCACUUGUGUGUGUGUGUGUGUGUGUGUGUGUGUGUGUGUGUGCGCCAUAUGAUGAAAGUGUUUUGUUCAUGCAUGAAUGCCUGUUGUUGCUCUAAACUGUAAGAUCGUUCAUAUAUUAUUAUAAAGAAGGAUUUAUGUUACAGUUGGCUUGUUUAAUCAGAAUUUGUGUUUUGUAUAAUGACAUUCAAGAGUGAAUAAAAUAAAUAAUGUAGACCUGGUAAA